UAAGGACCUUCUGCUACAAGCAGCCAUUGUGAGGGGGUACUCCUGGGUUAUUUGCUUUUUUUUUUAGCAGAGUGGCUAUCUUUUGACUUUUGACUGUGGGUACAGUUUAUACCAAGCCUAUAUUGUCAAGACUUGGCAGUGGGGAGUCUCCUACAAAUACCACCUGCCCUCAGUGCUGAAAGGGAGAGUGAAAUGCAGCCUACAAACCUGGAGUCUCAGGCAAACGGUGAGCCGGAGAUGCAGGAAGCAGUAAUGUGGCUGUUCUGUGAGAGGCACCAGAAGAUCCUGAAUUACUUUUGCAUUGAGGAUGAAGUUGCCAUUUGUGACGUGUGCGCUGGAUCCAUGCCACACCAAACUCACAAUGUGGUUCUCCUAAAAGAUGCUCCUCUGGAAUUCAAGAUUGAGAGCAGCCUGGCAAUCCUGAGAAAGGGGAGAGAUAAAUUUCUGGCGUGCGAAGCGGAAUCGGAAAGAGAAAGCCAGGACCUGCUUAAGCAAAUGAAAGCAGUGAGGGAGAAGGUAAUAGCUGAGUUCAGACAACUACACCAGUUCCUGGAAGAACAAGAGAAAUAUUAUCUGGCCCAGAUGGAAGAGAUGGACCGGAAGAUUGCAAGAAGAAGGGGUGGCCAGAUGGCCACACUCUCCAAGGAACGCUUCAUUCUGGAAAAUCUCAUCCGGGAAAUAGAGGAGAAGCAACGCUCACCAGUGGAUGAACUGCUGCAACAUGCAAGAAGAACCUUGCAGGGUUACGAAAGCCUGUAUGAGUAUCAACUGGCUCUUCCUCCUGAACUGAAGUGGAGAAUCUGGGAGUGCCUUGAGACCCAUUCUCUUCUGCAGGAUGCUGUAAAGCAGUUCAAAGAUACCCUGGACCCUGCACUUUAGCUGCAAAAAGAACUGGACGUUUUUUAAUGCUUAUGGAUGCAUAACUGGAGCACCUGGAGGCACGAGGCAGAUACCAGCAGACCUACAGACUGAACAUGGAAAUGGUUUCUCCCCUGUAUGGGUUCUCUCAUGUCCAUGAAGAUGUGCUUUACAACUGAAGUUUUUACCACAGACCAAGCACAUGAGCAUUUUCUUGGUGCCUCUCUGCUCUGCCUUGAUUUUCAACGAUGUCUGGACACUGGGAUAUACCCUCUGGGAUGAUUCCUAAGGAUACAUUAUUAACAGCCACUGUAGUGCUUCCUGGCAGAGGAGUCUCCUCUUCUAUAUGUCUGUUGCCUGUUCAAACAACAAUAAAAAUAAUUAUAAUCCAAGGAGUUUCUAACCAACAACUUCUAUGGCUGGGGGUCCUGGGUCCCAGCUCAGAGAAAAGACCUCAGUUUCCUGGUUCCAUGCCUCAGAUCUGGGGGGAUAUUUUUUAGGAGUAGGGAGGUUUUUAUCCACUUUUUAUUUUUGUCUCUUUCAGCCACCUGUCUCGGAUUCUUCUGUGGUAGGUUUGAUUCCAAUUUGAUUCUUCUGUGGAGUAUUUCUCCAACAGAGGGGAUUCACUUCUUGGAAGUACAGGGGAUUCUCAGGCUCCCCUGCCCUUCACUGCUUUACUUCCUCUCCAUUUUAUCAUUGGCUUAAAUGCCUGGCCACAUUCCCUGCAGAUCUCAAAAGAGAGAGUCCCCAUCCAGCAUGAACUUGGCCUCCCACGAGAGUUCCUGGUCCUCCCUGAACAUUCUGCUCUGUCCAGGCCCCGCCCCACCACAUCAUCCCAACCCUUCCUGCCCCUACGGACAAUUUGGUUGUUCUCUCAGCUGCAAUUUUCAGGUCGUGUGGGCCUGUCUGAGCCCAAGGGCUGGCAGGCUAGUUGUGGAGGUGACCCACCCAUGGUCACCUCACUCAUAUUUCUCUUUCAGACUUUUUACUUCAUCUGAAGAUAUUCUGAGGGAAGUAGCAAAGGCUGUGCCAUAUCUAUUAGAUGUUAGACAUGCAAGAAGAACCUAUGUUGUUUUCAUUUUAAAAACAACAGCACAUGGUACAGUAUUUAGAGAAUCUGAACUCCUUUUAUACACAAACAAACAAGAGUUGGUAGAAUGAAUUCUACCACUUCAGAUUAUGGGUGGGUAAUACCAUUUUGAAUGUUCCCCUGUGUAAAGACCUCCCUGCAAAUAAAAAACAAGGGCUGCAGAAAUCCACUAGUCUACUAGUCUGUGACUAGUGAAAAAUGAUGCCUGACGAGUGAAAAACGUCCUGAUGAGUGAUGUACUAACAUAGCUUGGCAAGUAAAAUAUUUUAUCUGGCUGAUAAACUGAGCCAACAUUUCCUCACCCCUGUAAAAAACAACAACAAUGUAAUGUUGUAGUUCACUUUCCUCCUUUCUGUGCUACUUUUUUUUCUCUCCUUACAGGGUGCUUUUCUUUAAAAAUGCAAGAGAGGAUUAUAAUGUGAUCCUUCACUUGCAGUCUUGUGAAGUCAGCACGGUCAUGAAUCCUUUGCAAGUGCAGGUGGGAAGCAUCUUAUAAUGCUUCCCACCUGUGCUUGCAAAGGAUUCACAACCAUACUGAGUGUGAAGUCAGUUGUUUGGAGUGUGAAAUAGUUGAUUGGGAGGAGAAGAGAAAUAGACCACAAUUAAGAGGACAAUGGAUUGUGGAUGAUUCUGGGAUGUUGUGGGUAAAACUAGAGGGAAAGCAUCCAGGUCCUUAUUGGGUGGCCCUCAAACAAGUGAGGGAGGAUAUGUCGAGCGUUGCUCAUGGUGAAAAUCACACAGGCCUAGAUGCAUCUUAUGCUAGGGUUUUACAAGCGUGUUGGUGGCCUAAUCUAGAAGCGGAAACUAUGUCCUGGGUGAGUUCUUGUUUAGCUUGUGCAUUGGUGAGCUGAUAUUUAAGUCUUACACAUUUCUUGGCUUGCUUCCUCUUUUCCUCUCCAGCUGUUCCUUUCACCAGACAUAUUCCUUCCCCGUUUUUUGCUGCAGCUCUAGGUCACUGCCAGCACUUGCUUGUCAGAUUUUUGCUCAAGCCUUGAAGACAGAACAACCUUUUCGGCCACUUGAUCUACCUUCUGAUUCCAGUAAAUCUGAGUGGGAUCUCAGACUUUUCCAUGUGCUAGCAAACUAAAUGCAAAGUAUACUGACUGAACCAUGAGCUAUCCCUCACCCGAAUGGAUAGGCGAGAUAGUUGUGCUUUCCAUGGAUGUCCUGAAAUCCAAGCCCCAUGGCUCCUCCUUUGGUUCCAGCUUUAUUAUCACACCAGGAAACACUGGAUAGGAGGAAAUAGGAGGAGUUCAGGUAUGACAUCUUAACUUUUAUAACACCAGCAGUUUUGCUUGUUAGUGAGUGAGAGACUUUAAAAAGCAUUGAUACUGAAUAAACCUAUUGUGAGCAUUCCAUUGUUGUGAAUGUUGGGCAUGUGUUCUUCUCACAUAUAUAUCUGCACAGGAUACAUAUAUCCUAUAUCUUCCAGGAGGAUGGGAGGGGCAAAGGAGGUAGCAAGGGCUGGGUCCCCACCACUACAGGCACCGCCUUGCUAUUCACUGCUGCCACACUUCUUUACCCCACUAGGGAACACCAUUAAUUCCCCCCUUCUCACCCUACUGGGGCACCCCUCUUCUUCCCCCUCCCAAUGUGAGCUAGGAAGGUCCCUGACACUACUACCUGGCUUAGCAGCAUAGUCUGAGAAUGCUGGUGUGUCACCAUCGUUGCCUUGGCAGCAUGACUUGAGAAUUCUAAGCACUCACCCACGAAUGGGGAGGGGGUCAUAUUGUCCUUCACCUCCAGUGGUAAAAUGUCUUUGACUA